CCUACGGGAGGCAGCAGUGAGGAAUAUUGGUCAAUGGACGAGAGUCUGAACCAGCCACGCAGCGUGAAGGAUGACUGCCCUAUGGGUUGUAAACUUCUUUUAUAUGGGAAUAAAAUGUUCCACGUGUGGGAUUUUGUAUGUACCAUAUGAAUAAGGAUCGGCUAACUCCGUGCCAGCAGCCGCGGUAAUACGGAGGAUCCGAGCGUUAUCCGGAUUUAUUGGGUUUAACGGGAGCGUAGGUGGGUUGUUAAGUCAGUUGUGAAAGUUUGCGGCUCAAGCGUAAAAUUGCAGUUGAGACUGGCAGUCUUGAGUACAGUAGAGGUGGGCGGAAUUCGUGGUGUAGCGGUGAAAUGCUUAGAUAUCACGAAGAACUCCGAUUGCGAAGGCAGUUCACUGGACUGCAACUGACACUGAGGCUCGAAAGUGUGGGUAUCAAACAGGAUUAGAUACCCGAGUAGUC
rnacentral:rRNA from 1 species